rnacentral:rRNA from 1 species
GAUGAACGCUGGCGGCGUGCCUAAUACAUGCAAGUCGAGCGAACAGAUGAGGAGCUUGCUCCUCUGACGUUAGCGGCGGACGGGUGAGUAACACGUGGAUAACCUACCUAUAAGACUGGGAUAACUUCGGGAAACCGGAGCUAAUACCGGAUAAUAUAUUGAACCUCAUGGUUCAAUAGUGAAAGACGGUUUUGCUGUCGCUUAUAGAUGGAUCCGCGCCGCAUUAGCUAGUUGGUAAGGUAACGGCUUACCAAGGCAACGAUGCGUAGCCGACCUGAGAGGGUGAUCGGCCACACUGGAACUGAGACACGGUCCAGACUCCUACGGGAGGCAGCCGUAGGGAAUCUUCCGCAAUGGGCGCAAGCCUGACGGAGCAACGCCGCGUGAAUGAUGAAGGUAUUCGGAUCGUAAAACUCUGUUAUUAGGGAAGAACAAAUGUGUAAGUAACUAUGCACGUCUUGACGGUACCUAAUCAGAAAGCCACGGCUAACUACGUG